UGCGCGUUGUUCCUGACCCUGUAUAUUUGCUCCAUUUUUUUUAGCAGCGAAUUUCGUUGGUUAUAAUUAACGCAUGCAGGAUGCCCUGGCAGAGAUUUUUUUUUUGUUUUGAUUUGUGGAAAGGAAUCAUUGAACAUUAUGCCAAUUGAGUGGUGAACCAACAUUUCUUGAUUAUAUUAUUCAUUCUGAUUUAAAACCUUCUGCAUAACUGUAUGUAAUAAUGGGCCUGCUUUGGUAAGUAAAUUGUGCUACCAAAUUUGAUUUUCUAGAACGAAGCAUCAAGAUCUACUUAUAAAAAGAAAUUAAAGUCUGCGUGUUUUCCAAAACAGUUGUGGCGGAGCUCAUCACAUGCAUCUUAUGAUGAACGCACACACAAACAGAGACUGCAGGUAGUAAGGUGCAACAUUAAAGAUCUUUUAUAUAUGUAGGCUGAUGUUAGUGCCGUCCUUGAUAAAUUUUUAAAAGUUUCUUUUCGAGCAUCUCCAACAGUUUGCCAAAAUUUAUUUCUCAAAUCUUGUUGUUUGUCAACUUCCAAAAUAAAUAUGAGAAAAAAAAGAUCUCGUCUCCAAUAAUUUAGCAAAUUUCAUUUCCAAAAACUUUAAAACCAGCUAAUGAAAUAAAAAGGCCC
rnacentral:lncRNA from 1 species